AAAAAAUGAAGAAAAAAAAUAAAGGAAGGUGGACUAAACCUUGCACUCUCAAACCAUACAGGGUUACAAAUACAGACUACGGAAAAUCUCUAUUAUACACCACCUGUUCCACCCCAGACAGAGGGGCUUACAACCACCCCUUAGCUCACUGCGAGGAAAACCCCCUGUGGGACCUGUAGCUACGACCCAAUCAAAACACGAAAUAGUGCCAACAUGACCGUCAGGAAUGAGCCACUCACUUAACACCCUCGACACUGAACAUUAGGAGAUACCCACAAGAGUUGCCAUAGAGGGGAUCAUACUGCUCUUCACAGAGAAGAUAGACCACAUGCAGCAAUAAGUUGCCUACAAUAGAAACUUCACUGGGGCAAUAACUACCCGCCCCUAUAUUUAGCCUAUUCUCACUACAUUCACACAUAUAUCCCUUCCCUUCCAAAGAGGUGCCUACCUCGACCAUGCAUACCGCGAAAUACAGGGAAACGAGAGACUGAUUCACACUAAGAGCAACUCAUCCCUCGUGAAACCGACUGAGUUUUACGCUUACUCGUAGUUGUCGUUAUACACGAGACGAAACUAAAUAUAUAAGUACUAAUGAUCCGAGACUACUGUUAAACGUUUUAUGUAAACCAAAGCAGAAUGUACAUGUAUUAUACUUUGUUGUAUGUAUGUGGAAGCCUGCGCGCCUCAUUAUGC